rnacentral:rRNA from 1 species
UUGAACGCUGGCGGCAGGCCUAACACAUGCAAGUCGAGCGGUAGAGAGAAGCUUGCUUCUCUUGAGAGCGGCGGACGGGUGAGUAAUGCCUAGGAAUCUGCCUGGUAGUGGGGGAUAACGUUCGGAAACGGACGCUAAUACCGCAUACGUCCUACGGGAGAAAGCAGGGGACCUUCGGGCCUUGCGCUAUCAGAUGAGCCUAGGUCGGAUUAGCUAGUUGGUGGGGUAAUGGCUCACCAAGGCGACGAUCCGUAACUGGUCUGAGAGGAUGAUCAGUCACACUGGAACUGAGACACGGUCCAGACUCCUACGGGAGGCAGCAGUGGGGAAUAUUGGACAAUGGGCGAAAGCCUGAUCCAGCCAUGCCGCGUGUGUGAAGAAGGUCUUCGGAUUGUAAAGCACUUUAAGUUGGGAGGAAGGGUUGUAGAUUAAUACUCUGCAAUUUUGACGUUACCGACAGAAUAAGC